UACGGGGGAGAGAAAGAAGAAGGACAGGUAGGAUAAAGAAUAGAGUUUA
rnacentral:tRNA from 1 species